CCAGUCGGCCGGACGGCCGCUCCCCGCACUGCCGAAAGGCCGCGGGGGGAGGAAAGUCCGGGCUCCACGGAAACAACGGUGCCGGGUAACGCCCGGCGGGGGCGACCCCAGGGAAAGUGCCACAGAAAGCAAACCGCCGGAUGGCUUUGGCCGGCCGGCAAGGGUGAAAGGGUGGGGUAAGAGCCCACCGCGGGCCCGGCAACGGGCCUGGCACGGCAAACCCCACCGGGAGCAAGACCGAAUAGGGGCGGCGCGAGGGGCGACCCUCAUCCCGUUUCCGGGCCUGCCGCCCGGGUAGGUUGCGUGAGGCGCCGGGCGACCGGCGUCCCAGAGGAAUGGUCGUCACGCGGCGAUGAGCCGCCAUACAAAACCCGGCUUACAGGCCGGCUGGCAUU
rnacentral:RNase_P_RNA from 1 species